UACGUAGGGUGCGAGCGUUAAUCGGAAUUACUGGGCGUAAAGGGUGCGUAGGCGGUUUAUCAAGUUGGAGGUGAAAGCCCAGGGCUCAACCUUGGAAUUGCCUUCAAAACUGAUAACCUAGAGGAUGAUAGAGGUAAGUGGAACUCCGAGUGUAGAGGUGAAAUUCGUAGAUAUUCGGAAGAACACCAGUGGCGAAGGCGACUUACUGGAUCGUUACUGACGCUGAGGCUCGAAAGCGUGGGGAGCAAACAGG
rnacentral:rRNA from 1 species